GACGAACGCUGGCGGCGUGCUUAACACAUGCAAGUCGAGCGAGGCCCCGCCUUCGGGUGGGUGUUCUAGCGGCGAACGGGUGAGUAACACGUGGGCAACCUGCCCUCAGCUCUGGGAUAACUCCAAGAAAUUGGGGCUAAUACCGGAUAUGACCGCUGACCGCAUGGUCUGGUGGUGGAAAGAUUUAUCGGCUGGGGAUGGGCCCGCGGCCUAUCAGCUUGUUGGUGGGGUAGUGGCCUACCAAGGCGACGACGGGUAGCCGGCCUGAGAGGGUGACCGGCCACACUGGGACUGAGACACGGCCCAGACUCCUACGGGAGGCAGCAGUGGGGAAUAUUGCGCAAUGGGCGAAAGCCUGACGCAGCGACGCCGCGUGGGGGAUGACGGCCUUCGGGUUGUAAACCUCUUUCAGCAGGGACGAAGCGAAAGUGACGGUACCUGCAGAAGAAGCACCGGCCAACUACGUGCCAGCAGCCGCGGUAAUACGUAGGGUGCAAGCGUUGUCCGGAAUUAUUGGGCGUAAAGAGCUCGUAGGCGGUUUGUUGCGUCGGCUGUGAAAUCCCGAGGCUCAAC
rnacentral:rRNA from 1 species